AUGAUCUCUCACAUGAAUUUUCAUUUCUGCCCCCCACCAUCCCACCUUGUGUGUGUGUGGGGGCGGGGGGAUCCCUCACCCCGGCCCAGCCCAGCCCAGCCCCACAUCGACAGCCCAAGAGGACAAAGGAAAGGAAGGCAGCAGGUCCGGAUAGAAUCUGCUCCAGACUCCUGCGACAACACAAGGCAAGAAAACAAAGUGUUGAUCUUAAACUCUAACAAAGCCUUUAAAGUUUCCGCUGAACCCUCUGCUCUGUCUCUGCCCAGGUGUGGUGCAAAUGUUCAAUGCGAAUCUUCACAGUGGCCCAGAUGGAGGAUAAUUCCAUACAGAUGCAGAAGGAUUUGUUAACCUUCACCUAUCAGCUACGCAUCGAUGCUGAGGUGGAAGUAGUGGAGAUGGUACGCACAAAAACCCAGAACGUCUCCCUCAUUUCUUCUUAAGUAGCUUUAAGUUUGCUGAAAUGAUCUUCCAAGAAAGAAGGAAAGAAAGAGAGAAUAAAACAAGCUAUACUGGAUUUAAAUCCAGCUGAUCUCCCUUUAAGGUCAUCCUUUUAAGCACUGCUUCAAUUACAUUACCGGGUCUGACCACUUGCACUUUGACUGAAAUAUUCACCUUUUAUGGCUGCACUGGUUCGCCAGCUGAAACCUGUAGAUGCAUAAUUUUUUACAGCCUUUAAGAUCGAAUUCAUGUUGGGGUUGAAUCACAGAUUUUUACAUAUAAAAUAAACAGUUAAUGCUUCUAGUCUCUUGACUAAAGAGAUUCUACUGUGAUGAUUAAGCCUAUGAGCAGGAGGUGUCUCUCUGCACUUCACAGUACACCAGAGUUUUGUGUUGAGGCCUCUGGUGGAUUGAAUUCUUUAAACAUGAAAAGCAAUUCAUCUCAUGUAAACAAUAACGUGGCUGUUUACGUUUGGACGAAAAGCCCAAAUGCACAGAAACAGCUGCGUUUUCAAAAAUACCCGUGUAGGUGCGGACGUAGCGUAAAAGAGUUAGUAGUGUAUUUUAUUACUACCUGUAAUUUAUUGCAGAUUACAUGUAUUUGCUUAAUUGUUUACUAAAUGUUUGAGGUGUGAAAUAAACUGCAGUGGAGCAAAAUAUGGGUGUGUGUGGUUGGAGGAUGUGUUCGUGCGUGCGUGUGUGUGCGCGCGCGAGAGGGGGGCGUGAACAUUUUUCUUGUAAAACAAAGGGGGGCCCAGCAAAACAAGUUUGGGAACCACUGGCCUAAGGUGUGAUAUAAAUGACUAAAGUGAUAGCUCAGCCUGUAAAAUGUGAACUGUCUCAGUCAGCAAAACAAAGAAACACCAACAGCUCCCAUCAGGAUACUUUAAAAAGGAAAAAAAAACUCUUUAGCGAUCCAACAGGUGCUUCCAGGUGUAUAAACAAUGGCAAAGUAAACAAAUUCCCUCUCUCUCACUCUCCCUCUCUCUCUCUUCACCUCCUAUGACCGGCAGGUUUAUGUUCUCCGACCGCGACACAACUGCCGGCACCCCGGCUGGAAACAUGAUCACCAUGUCCAAGAAGCUGCUGUGGGGCGCCACUACCAGGAUCUGCGCCUCCUUCACGUCCGCCUUACGACCUUUCACCUUAACCCAAUGGAAGCCCACGCAGAAGAACACUGCACGGCCCAGCAGCCACAGGAUCGGGUGGAACAGCCAGCGCCGCCAGCCUGAUAAGGGUUUGGAGCGUUCCUCCUGAGACAGGCCGGCCAAUCGCAGCACAGCGACGAUCCAAGCAGAGAUUAACAAGAUCCACGCCAGGAAGACCCGUAUGGGGAGCAGGGUGCAGCCCAGGAUGAUGCCCUGCAGGAUCAGAGGGGAAAAUUAGAGAUGCUUAAACAUAAUGCAGGGUUCAAUCAAGUGAAACACACACCACCAAACAUCAGAAACGGUUUCAUGGUCUAAAUCUAAAAAGAUGCCCUCUUUAGUUCUUUUCAUGGCAUCACAAAGCCUUAGUCAAUCUAAACUCAACCACUCAACACGGGACACAUCAAGCUCAGCUUGAUUUAAAGGUCAAGUUUAGGCGAAGUCAUUGUUUCAAACAAACAAACAUUAUUCCUGCUGAUUUAAGAAAAUAUAAGAUAUAUGAAUCGUAGUGUUUGUUUAUAUAAUGCUAAUGAGCCAUGUUUGCUUGGUGGAGCUGGUUAAAUGCUCUUCGGGUGAAACCUGCUUAAAGAUAACUAAGAGGCAAAGUGGAAAUCCAUCAGAAUGAUGGAAGGUUUUUCUUUUUUCUGUUUUUCAUUAAUAAUAAAGCGAGCGAGCGUGUGCGUGUGUGUAUUGCUUUUAUUAAUCCCUCAAAGCAGAAGAAGUAGAAACAAUGCUUCCAAUAUGGCAGCCUGAUUAAAGAGCCGGUGAGGCUUUAGUCUUUAACAUCCACAACAGACAGACCUCUACACGCUGCACACAGGGAAACCCUUGCUCUGAGUCUUCACCCACAGCAACACUUUCCUGUCAUCAUCUGUGCUGUGACUCCAUCAAGGCAAAGGGAAGCAACACGUAAACAUUUUCUCAAACUGCUGCGCUGAAACCGUUUCCAAAGAGCAUGCUGUGUGAGACGAUAAACCUCAUUUAACCUUUUAACCUGUGGCUUCCGGAACAAACUCAGGCGAGUCAGUCACUGCAAACACAUUUAUAGCAUCAAGUGUUUGUCAAAUUAAAAGGAUGUGUUUUUCUACAGCUAGGAUCAUUUUCUAUGUGCAGUAAAGUGCAUCAUCGGUGUUCAAUCAUACAUUUUGUAAUUGUUAUAAACAGAACAAAUGUUUUCUCAAUUCACUGCUUGAUUCUUAACUUGUUUAAAUGAAACAUGAUGAAAUGUCUGCAUUAUUUUUGAAAUGUCCUUGGCAGCGCAUGUGUCUGCAUUGUAAUUUACUAAUAAAACGUCCUGUGUGUACUUUGGUGUGUGAUUUAUAUUAUUUUAAAUGGUAAAUGACCUGCAUUUGUAUAGCGCUUUACUCAGUCCCUAAGGACCCCAAAGCGCUUUACACUACAUUCAGUCAUUCACACACUGGCAAGCUACAUUGUAGCCACAGCUGCCCUGGGGCGCACUGACAGAGGCGAGGCUGCCGGACACUGGCGCCACCGGGCCCUCUGACCACCACCAGUAGGCAAACGUGGGGUUAGUAUCUUGCCCGAGGAUAUUUGGUAUGCAGCCUGGGAUCGAACCACCGACCUUCUGAUUAUUGGCUGACCUGCUCUGCCACCUGAGCUACAGCCACCCCUAUAUUAUAUUUUAUUGCACAUAAAUCAGUAAUUUUAUUUUACAGUUACACACAGUCUUAUAUCUCUUCUUGCUGAUGUUGUUUCCAGUGUAAGUAACUUUAAAGUGGCUACAUGACAAAUUUUCUUAGGGAUUAAUAAAGUAUUUUGAUUCUGAUUAAUGUGUAGUAUUUAAUGAUUCAGUAAUGAAUGAACUUUGACCUUCUUGGAAAGCCUUUCACUUCAUUUGAAAAGCAGUGCUGUGUUAAGCUGCCUUGUUGGCUGUAAUAGUUUACAGAUGAAGCAUCUCCUCUCUUGUCACGUGCCAUUCAUUCUCAUUCCCUCUGCUUUACUGCUUCCAUGAUGUUAAGCUGAUUUUAAAUACUGAUCUGAUACUUCCUGGAGGUUUUUAUUGUAGGAAGACUCUUUCUGAUGAAACAUCAGCUGAACUUGUCAGAUCAGUGUGCUGAAAGGAAAAGGUAUAACAUCUUUUCUGACAUGCAGUGGAGCCCCGAGAGUCUGAGACCAAGGGUGGGAAACCUCCUCUUUAUUUAGGUUUGAAUUUAGUUUGACAAAGUUUAUUCUGAAAUGACAAUAUUGACUUAAAAUGUGAUGGAAAACUUUAAUCUGUUACAGUUUUUUUCUAUUGGUUUGGCGCAGUUUUCACAAGCAAUUGGUACAUUUCCAAAACUCUUAUUACUUAUAUCACAACAGAUCAUCAAAAGUGCACCUUUUUCAAACAUUUCAGCAUAUUUUCAAUUGUGUUAGUACAAUACACAUAAUGACAAAAUAUCCUUGACACUACACAAAAUAAGUGUUUCAUCUAAAUAAAUGUUUCGUUCACAGUUACUGCCUUUCAUAAUGUUAUCACUAUAAAAUUUUGGAUGUGCAUCUCUUAUUGGUCAGUUUAAUACAUUUGUCUGUCACUUCAUUCAG
ensembl:lncRNA